GUCAGUACUCUCCCCCUGAUGAGUAAAUAGUCUAGUGUUAGACAGUAAAAUAAUCUGGCGUUAGGCAGAGUGAAAUAAUAGACAACUGGUUUAUCAUUUAAGCAUAGAUAACUGGUUGAUCAGUAGAAAUCCUUGCAAUGCAUCACACAGUAGUCAAUACAUUUAUAUAUAGUGUCAUGAUAGUGCUGAAUCGCCUCCAUUUCAUUCUCUACAAUGCUAUCACUGGGUGCUUCUUCCAUCAUUUGGUGUGCAUGAAUGUGUGUCAGGGCAAACAGGAUUUAUUGGUAAAUUAAAACAGCUACAAUCAGUUGGCUGAUGUAAUUC